UAAAAUAUGAAGUCUAUGAAAUUAAACUUCAUAGAAUCAAACAUAAAAUAAUAUGGUGAAUGUUAAUAAUGCUUUUCAUAUUAUUGUAUGUAUAACAACAAUGUGUACUCGUUCAUAAAUCAAGAUUGUUUAUCUUUUUAAAUUUCGUGAAUGGGAGAUGGAAAUAUCCUGCACUAGUUCCAGUCCUCAAGCAAGAAGUUGUCUCAAUUUAUGAUGAAAACUUUACCGACAUUCCGAAGGACAGGGAGCCAUAUUAUGUUCAAGUUCAACGAUGUGUCAUCGA